rnacentral:misc_RNA from 1 species
ACCUCAUGGUUAUUUUGAAUAACCAUUCCCUGAUUGGGCUUCAUUAAUGAUGGUGGGCAGCACUGUCUUCAUUCUCUUAGCUAAUAGCUUUGAUACAAUUAUAAGCAGAGUUUGUAGAAAAGAUCCCACUUGGUUCAGCUCCCCACACCCAAGAAUCCAUCAAGGCUGCAUUAGUGCUUACUGCUGCAGUCUAGUCAAUAAAAGCUGAAGCUCCCCCCAGUUCAUUGUCAAAUAGAUAUCUUCUCCAGGAGAAUUUCCACUCCCAACCAGAUUCUCCAAAGAUCCCCAUGCUUGCCACUGUCUUUAAUUUUUGGGAUGAUAUUUGAUAUAAUU